rnacentral:rRNA from 1 species
CAACGUUGAAAGUUGGCCUUUGGCUAACACUGUAGGAUGGGCCCGCGGCGCAUUAGCUAGUUGGUAAGGUAACGGCUUACCAAGGCCACGAUGCGUAGCCGACCUGAGAGGGUGAUCGGCCACACUGGGACUGAGACACGGCCCAGACUCCUACGGGAGGCAGCAGUAGGGAAUCUUCCGCAAUGGACGAAAGUCUGACGGAGCAACGCCGCGUGAGUGACGAAGGCCUUCGGGUCGUAAAGCUCUGUUGUUAGGGAAGAACAAGUACCGUUCGAAUAGGGCGGUACCUUGACGGUACCUAACCAGAAAGCCACGGCUAACUACGUGCCAGCAGCCGCGGUAAUACGUAGGUGGCAAGCGUUGUCCGGAAUUAUUGGGCGUAAAGCGCGCGCAGGCGGUCUCUUAAGUCUGAUGUGAAAGCCCACGGCUCAACCGUGGAGGGCCAUUGGAAACUGGGGGACUUGAGUGCAGAAGAGGAGAGUGGAAUUCCACGUGUAGCGGUGAAAUGCGUAGAUAUGUGGAGGAACACCAGUGGCGAAGGCGGCUCUCUGGUCUGUAACUGACGCUGAGGCGCGAAAGCG